AUUGAACGCUGGCGGCAGGCUUAACACAUGCAAGUCGAGCGGUAACAGAGAGAAGCUUGCUUCUCUGCUGACGAGCGGCGGACGGGUGAGUAAUGCCUAGGAAUCUGCCUAGUAGUGGGGGAUAACUUGCCGAAAGGUAAGCUAAUACCGCAUACGUCCUACGGGAGAAAGGAGGGGACCUUCGGGCCUUUCGCUAUUAGAUGAGCCUAGGUCGGAUUAGUUAGUUGGUGAGGUAAUGGCUCACCAAGACCGCGAUCCGUAACUGGUCUGAGAGGAUGAUGAGUCACAGUGGAACUGAGACACGGUUCAGACUUCUACGGGAGGAAGCAGUGGGGAAUAUUGGACAAUGGGGGGAACCCUGAUUCAGCCAUGCCGCGUGUGUGAAGAAGGUCUUAGGAUUGUAAAGCACUUUAAGUUGGGAGGAAGAGCAGUUAACUAAUAUUUGACUGUUUUGACGUUACCGACAGAAUAAGCACCGGCUAACUUCGUGCCAGCCGCCGCCGUAA
rnacentral:rRNA from 1 species